rnacentral:rRNA from 1 species
UACGGAGGGGGCUAGCGUUGUUCGGAAUUACUGGGCGUAAAGCGCGCGUAGGCGGCCCUGUAAGUCCGCUGUGAAAGUCAAAGGCUCAACCUUUGAAAGCCGGUGGAUACUGCAGGGCUAGAGUCCGGAAGAGGCGAGUGGAAUUCCUGGUGUAGCGGUGGAAUGCGCAGAUAUCAGGAGGAACACCAAUAGCGAAGGCAGCUCGCUGGGACGGUACUGACGCUAAGGCGCGAAAGCGUGGGGAGCGAACAGG